UGGUGUUGUAUGUACGUCAAUUGGGAUUGACUCAUAACAAUACAUUUAGAAGGGUAUAAAAUGAGAACAAUCUCAUUGUACUGACAUUAGACAUCCUGUGAACGAGAAGUACAGACGUGUCAACAGUCAAUAGUCAUGAAGCUCCUGUGCUUGUUCGUGCUUGUGGUGCUGACUGUCGCUGUGUGUGCUGCACAGCCAGUUGAAGAUCUCGGCAUCGACUACCCAGAUCCUUCACACAUAAGGGUCAAGAGGCAACAUUUUAUAGGAAAAAGCAAAUGUUAUUGUCCAGAAGAUUACGUUUACGUUUUUUCACAAUGUGUUCCAUGUAAAAAAUAUUUGAUAGCAACAGGAGAGGAAGAGUGUCCCGUUUGUGCCGACUAACUAAACGAAUACACCAACAUUCGUGUAUAAGACAUACACACACAUAGUAACACCAGCUAGCAGCUAUUAUGUUGGGUGUAUGAACGGAUUAUGAAACAAGAUUUACGUAGCAAUAUGAAAAUAAGGAUAAUGUAUGCCGAUGUAAAGGACAUGGCUAAACCAAAGUAUGGACGUCGUAACCCGUACAAAUAAAUAUUGUAUAAAUAUGGUACCUAGCAAUAAAUAAAGCCGCAUAAUUAAAGAUUGAUAUUUUGUAGUUAAGAAGGUCCAGAAACUUGGCAUAUCUGCGCAAUCCUGAAAAUAAAGUAGCGCUCCUACGUCAAACAACGUUACAAAAACUUCAAAAUAUAACAUUGCUCUGAACUUUUACCAAGGCGUUUUGAUGAACCAGAGCCGAAAGUUAUUUAUAUAUGAGGUAGAUAGGUAAACAAUUCUGCUUAUACUAGAUAAUGAACACAAAGUAACCAAGGACAGACACAAAAUAUAUAGUAAGAUUGUGCAAUCUUAUACAAAAUAUUUAUUUUGUGUCGAUCAAAACAUUUACAAUUAUUUGGUUUCAGAAAAAAGUCAUUAUAUUACCGUUAUUAAAAAUUGAUGUUCGUUUAAUUAUUUCGAUUUGAUUUUCGGGGAAACUAAUGUCCUAAUAAUAGCUUGCAGUACCUACUUCCGUGUUGUCAUGUCAAACCACAACAGAAAAAAAUCAAUUAUGAAACUUA